rnacentral:piRNA from 1 species
UUACACUAACUAAAUUCAUUU